CAGUAGCCACGGUAAUACGUAGGGUGCGAGCGUUAAUCGGAAUUACUGGGCGUAAAGCGUGCGCAGGCGGUUGUGCAAGACAGAUGUGAAAUCCCCGAGCUUAACUUGGGAACUGCAUUUGUGACUGCACGGCUAGAGUGUGUCAGAGGGGGGUAGAAUUCCACGUGUAGCAGUGAAAUGCGUAGAUAUGUGGAGGAAUACCGAUGGCGAAGGCAGCCCCCUGGGAUAACACUGACGCUCAUGCACGAAAGCGUGGGGAGCAAACAGGAUUAGAUACCCGGGUAGUCCCUGUCUCUUAUAC
rnacentral:rRNA from 1 species